rnacentral:rRNA from 1 species
CACAUGCAAGUCGAGCGGAGAUGAGGUGCUUGCACCUUAUCUUAGCGGCGGACGGGUGAGUAAUGCUUAGGAAUCUGCCUAUUAGUGGGGGACAACAUUCCGAAAGGAAUGCUAAUACCGCAUACGUCCUACGGGAGAAAGCAGGGGAUCUUCGGACCUUGCGCUAAUAGAUGAGCCUAAGUCGGAUUAGCUAGUUGGUGGGGUAAAGGCCUACCAAGGCGACGAUCUGUAGCGGGUCUGAGAGGAUGAUCCGCCACACUGGGACUGAGACACGGCCCAGACUCCUACGGGAGGCAGCAGUGGGGAAUAUUGGACAAUGGGGGGAACCCUGAUCCAGCCAUGCCGCGUGUGUGAAGAAGGCCUUAUGGUUGUAAAGCACUUUAAGCGAGGAGGAGGCUACUGAGACUAAUACUCUUGGAUAGUGGACGUUACUCGCAGAAUAAGCACCGGCUAACUCUGUGCCAGCAGCCGCGGUAAUACAGAGGGUGCGAGCGUUAAUCGGAUUUACUGGGCGUAAAGCGUGCGUAGGCGGCUUUUUAAGUCGGAUGUGAAAUCCCCGAGCUUAACUUGGGAAUUGCAUUCGAUACUGGGAAGCUAGAGUAUGGGAGAGGAUGGUAGAAUUCCAGGUGUAGCGGUGAAAUGCGUAGAGAUCUGGAGGAAUACCGAUGGCGAAGGCAGCCAUCUGGCCUAAUACUGACGCUGAGGUACGAAAGCAUGGGGAGCAAACAGGAUUAGAUACCCUGGUAGUCCAUGCCGUAAACGAUGUCUACUAGCCGUUGGGGCCUUUGAGGCUUUAGUGGCGCAGCUAACGCGAUAAGUAGACCGCCUGGGGAGUACGGUCGCAAGACUAAAACUCAAAUGAAUUGACGGGGGCCCGCACAAGCGGUGGAGCAUGUGGUUUAAUUCGAUGCAACGCGAAGAACCUUACCUGGCCUUGACAUACUAGAAACUUUCCAGAGAUGGAUGGGUGCCUUCGGGAAUCUAGAUACAGGUGCUG